UCCGAGUUGACCCCGGCAGUCUCCUAUGAGUCCCCACCAUUACGUGCUGGCAACAUAGGACGAGGGUUGCGCUCGUUGCGGGACUUAACCCAACAUCUCACGACACGAGCUGACGACAACCAUGCACCACCUGUGCACGAGUGUCCAAAGAGACCACCAUCUCUGGUGGCUUCUCGUCCAUGUCAAGCCUUGGUAAGGUUCUUCGCGUUGCAUCGAAUUAAUCCGCAUGCUCCGCCGCUUGUGCGGGCCCCCGUCAAUUCCUUUGAGUUUUAGCCUUGCGGCCGUACUCCCCAGGCGGGGCACUUAAUGCGUUAGCUACGGCGCGGAAUCCGUGGAAACAGACCCCACACCUAGUGCCCAACGUUUACGGCAUGGACUAC
rnacentral:misc_RNA from 1 species